GUUAGCUUAGGGCCAGUCAGAAUAAGGUUGCUAUGUAGCCAUCCAGUGUAAAUGGCAUUUCUUUCCAUUAACAAAUUGAAGAGAUCAUAAGCAUCUGA